rnacentral:rRNA from 1 species
GAUGAACGCUGCCGGGUGCCUAACACAUGCAAGUCGAGCGAGACUUAUGUAAAGAAACUUCGGUAGAUUUACAAAAGGGAAACGCCGGACGGGUAGUAACGCGUAGGCAACCUGCCCCAUACAGGGGGAUAGCCACCGGAAACGGUGAUUAAUACCUCAUAAAGCAUAGAUCACAUGUUAAAGAUGUCAAAGAGAAUUCGGUAUGGAUGGGCCUGCGUCGAUUAGUUAGUUGGUGAGGUAACGGCUCACCAAGGCGACGAUCAGUAGCCGACCUGAGAGGGUAGCGGCCCAUUGGAAUGAGACACGGUCCAGACUCCUACGGGAGGCAGCAGUGGGGAAUAUUGCCAAUGGGCGAAAGCCUGAUGCAGCAACCCGUGUGAAUGAAGAAGGCCUUAGGGUCGUAAAAUUCUGUCCUAAGGGAAGAAAAAGAUGACGGUACCUUAGGAGGAAGC